rnacentral:lncRNA from 1 species
CUUUUUCCGCUGGACGAACUUGGCGCCCCGCCCUUCGGGCGGUUAGUUUUGGACGCGGCUGUACCCGUGGCCUAUUUAUGGCACACGGAGGUACCGCGCAAAGUCUCACGCCAUUCCCAGUCCGGCGGACGAAGUUUGCCAGCCCCACCCCCCAAGGCUAUAGCCCACCCGUUUUUGUGGCCUUUUUCCGCUGGACGAACUUGGCGCCCCGGCCUUCGGGUGGUUAUUUUUGGGCGCAGUUGUGCCCGCGGCGUAUUUUUGGCACACGGAGGUGCCUCGCAAAGUCUCGCGCCAUUAUGAGUCCGGCGGACGAAGUUGGCCAGCCCCACCCCCCAAGGCUAUAGCCCACCCGUUUUUGUGGCCUUUUUCCGCUGGACGAACUUGGCGCCCCGGCCUUCGGGCGGUUGUUUUUGGGCGCGGCUGUGCCCGCGGCCUAUUUUUGGCACACAGAGGCGCCUCACAAAGUCUCGCGCCAUUCCGAGUCAGGCGGACGAAGUUGGC